ensembl:lncRNA
GCCCACAAUCUGUGCCUUUUGUACUCAUGUCAUAAUUAAUCUUCAUUCUGCACAGAGGUUUUCUCAAGGGAAGCACUGAAGAUCAGGUCCAUUUGCUGAAGGUCUCAGGGAUUAAGGGAAGGUUCUCUGAUUCCAGAACUUUGACUUGAGAUCUGAACAAAGGCAUCAAGAGUGACCUUCUUUCCUAGCACAUCUGAUACCCUCCGAAAGUUAAACAAGCCAUUCAGGAAAACAGGAUUGAGUUGUGACAGGCUGAAGAGAAACCCUGGGAGUGCCGGUCUUCAUAGAGGGUCCAGGAUGUCAGGACACUGAGAUUGGAUGUUUGGAGAAAGUCACGCUGGCUGCCUGGCACAGAGCUGGAUUCAGAGUCCCUAGUGGGGACCUGACCGCCUGCCUCCCACUCCGGCCACCAGGCUGCAUCUCCCAUCUCUCUGAGUUCCUCAUUCAGGAUGGCUCCCGCAGCACCUUCAUGAGACUGUCCCAGGGCAGAGCUAAGCAAAAAUCCUUGGAGUCGUAUGUUAUAUUGCCUCUGAUUUCUGUCCUCCUGCUGUCAAAUCACUUUUUGGUUGACAAAAAAACUGAUUUUUCCUACUGUAACAGAGCAGGACACUAUGGGGCCUUCCCAAGACAGACCUCCCACCUGUGUCCUCCACCUGUGCAACUUGUAUGUAGAAAAACUUUAGCCAAAGAAUAAAUUUAAUCAGAUAAAUUAGAAAAUGCAAGCAAAGAAAAAUAGUCAAGACCGAAUAAUAAUGGUUUAGUUAUCAAAUAAAGUCAAAGACCUGUAGUUCCUCCUCA